GUCUACCACCAUGCUACCCUGAACAAGCCAGAUCCCGUCUGAUCUCGGAAACUAAGCAGGGUUGAGCCUGGUUAGUACUUGGAUGGGGGACCACCUAGGAAGACCAGGUGCUGUAAGCG
rnacentral:rRNA from 1 species